rnacentral:rRNA from 1 species
UACGUAGGUGACUAGCGUUGUCCGGAUUUACUGGGCGUAAAGAGCGCGCAGGCGGUCGUUCAAGUCGAGUGUGAAAGCCCCCGGCUCAACUGGGGAGGGUCACUUGAUACUGAUCGACUCGAAGGCAGGAGAGGGAAGCGGAAUUCCCGGUGUAGUGGUGAAAUGCGUAGAUAUCGGGAGGAACACCGGUGGCGAAGGCGGGUCUCUGGGCCGAUACUGACGCUGAGGAGCGAAAGCGUGGGGAGCGAACAGG